GUGAACCUGCGGAAGGAUCAUUAUUGAAUAAACUUGCACAGGCUGUUGCUGGCCCUCAAGGGGUAUGUGCACGCUUGCUCAUCUUUAUCUCUCCAACUGUGCACAUAUUGUAGACCUGGGAGUCCCUGUUGAUUCAUUUCGAGUUGGGACUGCUGUGCUUUGUACUUCAGAGUCAGCUUUGCCUUUUUCAUACCCAGGUCUAUGUCAUUUUCACAACCUCUUGAAUGUGUUUAGAAUGUCAAAUCAUGUCUUUUUGUACCUAUAAAGUUAAAUAUACAACUUUCAGCAACGGAUCUCUUGGCUCUCGCAUCGAUGAAGAACGCAGCGAAAUGCGAUAAGUAAUGUGAAUUGCAGAAUUCAGUGAAUCAUCGAAUCUUUGAACGCAUCUUGCGCUCCUUGGUACUCCGAGGAGCAUGCCUGUUUGAGUGUCAUUUAAAUUCUCAACCACAUCAAUUUAUUUGGUGAGGCUUGGAUGUGGGGGUGUUUUUGCGGGCUUCUGUAAAUUCGAAGUCGGCUCCCCUAAAAUGCACUUAGUGGUAUCUGAGCAGAAGAAACUACUACAGGUGUGAUAACUAUAUACGCCUCAGUAUCCUGCACAAUCAGAUUGUGCUGCUUCUAACGAGUGGAGAUUCCUUUCGGGGGACCACAUUG
rnacentral:rRNA from 1 species